rnacentral:lncRNA from 1 species
UUUGUAGCUGACCUGUGUAGUUUUACACCGGUAACAAAAGCCACUGGGAAGUUACAAAAAUCCUCCUGCACAGACUGGCUUUAGGAAUCAAGGAUGCGGUCAGCAAAGGCACAGAUGACGAGAACCUAAUGCACAAGAGUUGGUUCCUGGAACCUGCUCGGUUCCUCAGCACACUGGACACUUUACAACUCAUGACUCAGCUCUGAAGAGGAUGUGGUUGGUGAAGUUUCCUGCCUCUAGUGGUCACAAGUUCACAUGGUGUCUCCUUUUGAGGGCCUGCUGACUGCAGAACAGGGACAGCUG